ACGGGAGGCAGCAGUGGGGGAUAUUGCACAAUGGGGGGAACCCUGAUGCAGCGACGCCGCGUGAGCGAAGAAGAUCUUCGGAUUGUAAAGCUCUGUCUUAGGGGACGAUAAUGACGGUACCCUGAGAGGAAGCCACGGCUAACUACGUGCCAGCAGCCGCGGUAAUACGUAGGUGGCAAGCGUUGUCCGGAAUUACUGGGUGUAAAGGGAGCGCAGGCGGGUCGACAAGUUGGAAGUGAAAAUUACAGGCUUAACUUGUAAACUGCUUUCAAAACUGCCGAUCUUGAGUGGUGUAGAGGUAGGCGGAAUUCCCGGUGUAGCGGUGGAAUGCGUAGAUAUCGGGAGGAACACCAGUGGCGAAGGCGGCCUACUGGGCACUAACUGACGCUGAGGCUCGAAAGCAUGGGUAGCAAACAGGAUUAGAUACCCUGGUA
rnacentral:rRNA from 1 species